AUUGAACGCUGGCGGCAUGCUUUACACAUGCAAGUCGAACGGUAACAGGGAGCUUGCUCCGCUGACGAGUGGCGAACGGGUGAGUAAUGCAUCGGAACGUACCCAGUCGUGGGGGAUAACGUAGCGAAAGUUACGCUAAUACCGCAUACGUCCUGAGGGAGAAAGCGGGGGACCGUAAGGCCUCGCGCGAUUGGAGCGGCCGAUGUCGGAUUAGCUAGUUGGUAGGGUAAAGGCCUACCAAGGCGACGAUCCGUAGCGGGUCUGAGAGGAUGAUCCGCCACACUGGGACUGAGACACGGCCCAGACUCCUACGGGAGGCAGCAGUGGGGAAUUUUGGACAAUGGGCGAAAGCCUGAUCCAGCCAUGCCGCGUGAGUGAAGAAGGCCUUCGGUUGUAAGACUCUUUCUAGCCGGAAAGGAAAUACGCGCAGGAUAAUAACUCUGCGUGGAUGACGGUACCGGAAGAAGAAGACACCGGCUAACUACGUGCCAGCAGCCGCGGUAA
rnacentral:rRNA from 1 species